GUUGCAAUGGAAUCUGAACCAGAAGCAGAAAUAUUUGGAAGCCAAACUGAUGUGUAUCCAAAUGCUCUGUCUAUGCACCUUUUAAAAGAAGGACAGUGGAGAAUACCAAAGAAUGUAAUAAAGAAAUCUUAUAGCCACAGAUCCAUCGAAUACAUUAAUGGAGAGAGUAUGACAGAGCAAUUUGCAGAAGGUUUGUGGAAGGAAUUACAAG